AUGCAGAAGCUGGGAUUCAGCAAUCGCUGGAGGGAUUGGAUAUCGCUGCUUCUUGUAUCGGCUUCAUCCUAUUUUUUGCUAAAUGGUGACCCUGGGAGGCGACUGUUGCAUCGCCGGGGCCUACGUCAGGGAGACCCCCUGUCCCCGCCGCUCUUCAUCAUUGUGAUUGAUGUUUUGCAUCGCCUGAUUACAAGAGCAACUGAGCUCAAUUUGCUAACACCGCUCCCAGGCUGUGAGCUCAAGCUGCGCAUUAGCCUUUAUGCGGAUGACACUGUCAUUUUCGCAAACCCAAACAAAGAUGAGGUGGACAAAUUGCUGCACAUCAUUACCAUGUAUGGCGAUGCCUCAGGCCUGCAUCUGAACAUCAGCAAAAGCACUGUUACACCAAUCAGAUGUGAUGACUUAAACCUCCAAGAGAUCUUGCUGAAUUUUGGAGGCCAUACGACUCAAUUCCCCAUCAAAUACCUGGGUUUGCCAAUCAACUUGGGGAGGACAAGACUUGUUCAUUUUCAGUUCAUUCUGGACCGAAUUUGA
rnacentral:rRNA from 1 species